CCGGAAAUGGUGGAGCCACAGCGAAAGCGAGUCUUAAUAGGGCGUUUGUCAGUGUUUAUAGACCCGAACCCUGGUGAUCUAACCAUGGCCAGGAUGAAGCUUGGGUGAUACCAAGUGGAGGUCCGAACCGACUGAAGUUGAAAAUUCAGCGGAUGAGCUGUGGUUAGGGGUGAAAUGCCAAUCGAACCAGGAGCUAGCUGGUUCUCCCCGAAAUACGUUGAGGCGUAGCGUCUAGUGCUCCAGCAGGGGGGUAAAGCAACCAUUUCGGUACGGGCUGCGAAAGCGGUACCAAAUCGAUAUGAACUCUGAAUACCCUGUGUGUAACUAGGCAGUCAGACUGUGGGGGAUAAGCUCCAUAGUCAAGAGGGAAACAGCCCAGACCGCCAGCUAAGGUCCCAAAAUUAACGCUAAGUGAUAAAGGAGGUGGGAUUGCCCAGACAACCAGGAGGUUUGCCUAGAAGCAGCCAUCCUCAAAGGAGUGCGUAAUAGCUCACUGGUCGAGCGAUCCUGCGCCGAAAAUGAACGGGGCUAAGCGUUAUACCGAAGCUGCGGAUAAAUUUAUUUAUGGUAGGGGAGCGUUCUAUGUAGGGUGAAGCGUUAGCGUAAGCGGACGUGGACAGCAUAGAAGUGAGAAUGUCGGCUUGAGUAGCGAAAACAUGGGUGAGAAUCCCAUGCCCCGAAACCCUAAGGGUUCCUCCGGCAGGCUCGUCCGCGGAGGGUUAGUCUGGACCUAAGGCGAGGCCGAAAGGCGUAGUCGAUGGAUAACAGGUCAAUAUUCCUGUACCAGAUGUGUUUUGAGAAGGGGGACGGAGAAGGCUAACCAGGCCAGAUGUUGGUUACUGGUUCAAGCGUUCGAGGCUUUGAGAGAUGGAGAAAACAUCUUGAGCUAAGGCGUGAGUACGAGCUGCUACGGCAGCGAAGUUGGUGAUGUCAUGCUUCCAAGAAAAGCCCUAUACUCGUUAAGACACAAAUGCCAGUACCCGAAACCGACACAGGUGGGGUGGUAGAGAAUACCGAGGGGCGCGAGAUAACUCUCUCUAAGGAACUCGGCAAAAUGGCCCCGUAACUUCGGGAGAAGGGGUGCCAGCGAGAGCUGGUCGCAGUGAAGAGGCGCAAGCGACUGUUUACCAAAAACACAGGUCUCCGCUAAGUCGCAAGACGAUGUAUGGGGGCUGACACCUGCCCAGUGCCGGAAGGUUAAGGAAGCUGGUUAGCUUUAUGUGAAGCUGGCGACUGAAGCCCCGGUGAACGGCGGCCGUAACUAUAACGGUCCUAAGGUAGCGAAAUUCCUUGUCGGGUAAGUUCCGACCCGCACGAAAGGUGUAACGAUUUGCGCGCUGUCUCGGAGAGAGGCUCGGCGAAAUAGAAUUGUCUGUGAAGAUGCGGACUACAUACACCCGGACAGAAAGACCCUAUGAAGCUUUACUGUAGUUUGAUAUUGUGCUCGGGCUCUGAAUGCGCAGAAUAGGUGGGAGACGUUGAAAUAGUGCUUGUGGGUACUAUUGAGUCAUCGGUGAGAUACCACUCUUUUAGAGCUAGGGUUCUAACGCUUACCCGUUAUCCGGGAAGCGGACAGUAUCUGAUGGGCAGUUUGACUGGGGCGGUCGCCUCCUAAAAGGUAACGGAGGCGCACAAAGGUUCCCUCAGGCUGGUUGGAAAUCAGUCGUUGAGUGCAAAAGCAGAAGGGAGCUUGACUGUGAGACCUACAAGUCGAACAGGGACGAAAGUCGGUUUUAGUGAUCCGACGGUUCUGCGUGGAAGGGCCGUCGCUCAACGGAUAAAAGUUACUCUAGGGAUAACAGGCUGAUCUCCCCCAAGAGUUCACAUCGACGGGGAGGUUUGGCACCUCGAUGUCGGCUCAUCGCAACCUGGGGCUGAAGUCGGUCCCAAGGGUUGGGCUGUUCGCCCAUUAAAGCGGUACGCGAGCUGGGUUCAGAACGUCGUGAGACAGUUCGGUCCAUAUCCGGUGUAUGCGCAGGAAUAUUGAGAGGAUUUCUCCCUAGUACGAGAGGACCGGGAGGAACGCACCUCUGGUGUGCCAGUUAUCGUGCCAACGGUAAACGCUGGGUAGCCAUGUGCGGAGUGGAUAACCGCUGAAAGCAUCUAAGUGGGAAGCCCACCUCAAGAUGAGUAUUGCCAUGGCUUAAGCCAGUAAGGUCACGGGAAGAACACCCGUUGAUAGGCUCUACGUGGAAGCUUGGUAACAAGUGCAGCGGAGGAGUACUAAUAGACCGAGGGCUUGACCAA
rnacentral:rRNA from 1 species